rnacentral:lncRNA from 1 species
GAAAGCUGAGGACAAUGCCUAGGGAAUCACCUUCAUGAUUAAGAGGAUACUACACAAUAGAUACAGCUAGAUCGAAGGAAAGAAGAGCUGUGGGAGAGCAGUAGCAGAGAAGGUUCGGGAGGAGUUUCCAGCAAGUCAGAUGGAGUGAAAUUGAACAGAAGCCACUGAGUUUGACAAUUAGUCAUUGGUGAUCAUUGGCCAGGAUCAUAAGCACGUGAUACUAGGAUUUGAGAGCCGAUCUGACUCCAUGACAAGGCACAGUCCUAAGACAUAGCAUCAUGGUCAAUGAGGACAUGAGGACUCACAUGAGGAGAGACAGUGAGAGAGGGAGCACAAGCAGGAGGAGUGGGAGAUGGAGAAGCAGGCUUCCUGCGGAGCAGGGAGCACGACACAGGGCUCCGUCCCAGGACCCCGGUAUCAUGAAUGGACCCGAAGGCAGAUGCUUAAUGACGGAGCCACCCAGGUGCCCCUAAUGAUCACCUUUUUAAAACGAAAGGGACAUUUCAUAUGACAAACCUCAUUUCCUGACAUCUAGUUGUAAAGAGCUGGUGUUCCCGGUGUGCUCUUCACAGUGGACCAUGUCCUUGGCAUCACUUGCAGGCUUUGUAUUUAUAUCUAACAGACUGACCCCAGCAGAUUGAAUCACCAGCUUCACCUGCUCGAAAUUCCUUUGACAGAAGUCGUCUUUCAGCCCAGCACCAGGAAUUCUAAAGCUAAAAUGUAAAUAAACCUAAAGGAACACACCGACUCAUGUUCACACUAUGGAUGAUGGCAGAUGUGUUCUGAGGUUGGGUUUUGAGGAGAGAUGGAAAGGGACCCGGAACUAAGACUGAUUAAGUAGCUGCUAGGUACCAGGCAUACCCGAUCUUUUUAACAAGCUUGGAAGAUAGGUAUUCCUUUAUUCAGGUUUCAGGUUCAUAACAAAGAUACUCAGAGCAUUUAAGUAAUUUCUUAAAGUAAUAUAACUAAGUAGUAGAGACCAUGCUUUGUCCACUAUACCAAGCCACAUGCCUGUGUGUAUGGAAAGAGGGGGCUAAGAAGAGAGAUCGGAGACUUCGUAUACUCCAGAAAGUCUCCCCAGGGGCAGUACCAGCAUAGGGCCCAGUAUACACCCAGUGCACAGUUAAUGAAUGUGCAUGUUGAAUGCACAUUGAAUGUGCACUGUUGAAUGAACUGAUGUGAAUGCCAUCAAAAUAUUCGAAACACUCAUGUACUUAAAAACCCUGUGGUAACUCCCAACUGCCUGUAGUAGUAAUUCUCUAAAUUGUUCAGAAAGCAAAGCACUUAGAAAUCAUGGUGUUCUUUUUAGGGUAUGACAGAUAUACA